ACGACCUUACUUAGACAGGAUCAGUUCUAUAGUAGUCGUACCACAGCAUCCUUUACCAAAAAGGAGGCAAGCACUAAAGUCUGGUUGAUGCAUUCGGACCUCUGGGCCAGAGCGUGAUUGACGGCCUGGAUCUCCUGAUGGGAGCCAUCCAACGGCUGUAGAGGAUCGUUCCUGCCUUGCUCAUGCCUUUGCAGGGUGGCCCAGAGGUUGUCUGACAGACA